AACGCGAAGAACCUUACCAGCUCUUGACAUGUCUCGUAUGGGCCGGGGAGACCCGGUUCUUCAGUUCGGCUGGCGGGAACACAGGUGCUGCAUGGCUGUCGUCAGCUCGUGUCGUGAGAUGUUGGGUUAAGUCCCGCAACGAGCGCAACCCUUAUCCCUAGUUGCCAUCGGGUCAAGCCGGGCACUCUAGUGAAACUGCCUGGGAUAACCAGGAGGAAGGUGGGGAUGACGUCAAGUCCUCAUGGCCUUUAUGUCCAGGGCUACACACGUGCUACAAUGGUCGGUACAAACCGUCGCAAACCCGUGAGGGGGAGCUAAUCGGAAAAAGCCGACCUCAGUUCGGAUUGGAGUCUGCAACUCGACUCCAUGAAGCUGGAAUCGCUAGUAAUCGCGGAUCAGAACGCCGCGGUGAAUACGUUCCCGGGCCUUGUACACAGACUGUAC
rnacentral:rRNA from 1 species